UUGUCAACCUUUGAUACUCCACAAUUGGUUCAAGGGUAUGGCAGCUGACACAACAACAUCAGGAUAAAUUGUGAAAUACUAAGAAUAAAUGAUCAUUCUACACUUUGUUUUACCUGGUAUCUAGUGGUUCAAUUGAUGACAGAGCUGUUGCAUUAU